rnacentral:rRNA from 1 species
AUUGAACGCUAGCGGGAUGCUUUACACAUGCAAGUCGAACGAGUGUCGGACGGGUGAGUAAUGUAUCUGCACGUGCCCAAUGGCGGGGGAUAACUACUCGAAAGGGUGGCUAAUACCGCAUACUAUUGGCGCGGCCCAUCUCGGCUUAGCUAGUUGGUGGGGUAAAGGCUCACCAAGGCCACGAUCCGUAGCUGGUUUGAGAGGAAGACCAGCCACACUGGGACUGAGACACGGUCCAGACUCCUACGGGAGGCAGCAGUGGGGAAUGUUGGACAAUGGGGGAAAGCCUGAUGCAGCCAUGCCGCGUGUAUGAGAAGGCCUUCGGGUUGUAAAGUACUUUUGGCAGAGAAGCGUUACCUGCAGAAGAAGCACCGGCUAACUACGUGCCAGCCGCCGCGGUAAUUC